rnacentral:rRNA from 1 species
UACGGGGGGGAGCAAGCGUUGUUCGGAUUUACUGGGCGUAAAGCGCACGUAGGCGGAUUGUUAAGUCGGGGGGUGAAAUCCUGGAGCUCAACUCCAGAAUUGCCUUCGAUACUGGCUUUCUAGAGGCUGGAAGAGGUUAGUGGAAUUCCCAGUGUAGAGGUGAAAUUCGUAGAUAUUGGGAAGAACACCAGUGGCGAAGGCGGCUAACUGGUCCAGAUCUGACGCUGAGGUGCGAAAGCGUGGGGGAGCAAACAGG